rnacentral:misc_RNA from 1 species
UCUCAAGGAAAUCCUUCAACAUCAUCUCAAACAAUUGAGGGAACUUUGGCUAACCAGUUGAUCAGAAAUCACGAGGCACACUAUUGUUCACAUUUAGACUAUCAACAAGAAAUUGGAGUUGUGACUGGUAAUUGGGGUUGUGGUUCUUUCGGUGGGGAUCCUCAACUUAAAGCUAUGCUUCAAUGGCUUGCUGCAUCUCAGGCAUUGAGACCAUUCAUCAUGUAUUAUACGUUUGACUUGGAAGCAUUGCAGAUGCUGGGUCAGGUGGCUCAAUGGAUUUCUUCACAGGGGUGGACUGUUGG